rnacentral:misc_RNA from 1 species
AAGUCGUAACAAGGUUUCCGUAGGUGAACCUGCGGAAGGAUCAUUAACACGUUAGCUUCCGAAAGGGGGCUUUCGUAUUAUUAAAAACGCGAACUAGAUAAUCUCCCUGGUUUGGUUGUGAGGUGUUAGGGUUGCUUAGGUGGAUAGCAUUCGUGCUAUAGCGACUUUAACUACGGGUCUUUGAACCCAGCCUUGUAGCUAAGCUAGGUGUAAUAAAUCCAUAUAUCUCCUUCUGCCUUAGGAGGUAUAUGGGGGUCCUAUUAAUCACUUAGGGCCCGAGUAUUCAUUUAAACUACGUUUAAUAUAGUUCUUAUUCAAAAGCUUACUGGUAUUGAUUCGCUCGCAAGAGCUCGAGUCUGCUGGUUGCUUUCACUUAUAAAUAAUACGACUCUUACCAAUGGAUGUCUUGGUUCCCAU